UUGGAGUUAAGCCCAAACCACCAGAUGUAUACUCCCUCUGUUGCCGGAGAUUGCAGCUGCCAGCCACGCGCUGCUGCUGCCGCCGGUCUGCGCUGUUGAUGUUGCUGUUGAACGAGGUGGAGCGACCUGCAGCGUCGGUCGGGGAUGGGUGGCUCGACCUGUAACGCCGGUCGGGGAUGGGUGGGGGUGACCGCCGGUCGGGCGUAGGUCGGGGUUGAGAGGAGUGCGAGAGG
rnacentral:lncRNA from 1 species